UACGGAGGGUGCGAGCGUUGUCCGGAAUUAUUGGGCGUAAAGAGCUCGUAGGCGGUCUGUUGCGUCUGCUGUGAAAUCUCGGGGCUCAACCCCGAGCGGUCGUGAGAAACUGGCAGGCUAGAGUGCGGGAGAGGAGAGUGGAAUUCCUGGUGUAGCGGUGAAAUGCGCAGAUAUCAGGAAGAACACCCGUGGCGAAGGCGGCUCUCUGGAACGCAACUGACGCUGAGACGCGAAAGCGUGGGGAGCAAACAGG
rnacentral:rRNA from 1 species